rnacentral:rRNA from 1 species
GGGACCUCUUAAAAGGAGGUUUUUAGUGGCGAACGGGUGAGUAACACGUAAGUAACCUGCCUUUAAGACGAGGAUAACAACCGGAAGGUUACUAAGACUGGAUAGGAAACAAAAAGGCAUCUUUUUGUUUUUAAAAGACCUUCUUACGAAGGUAUGCUUAAAGAGGGGCUUGCGCCACAUUAGUUAGUUGGUAGAGUAAAAGCCUACCAAGACGAUGAUGUGUAGCUGGACUGAGAGGUUGAACAGCCACAUUGGGACUGAGACACGGCCCAAACUCCUACGGGAGGCAGCAGUAGGGAAUUUUCGGCAAUGGAGGAAACUCUGACCGAGCAACGCCGCGUGAACGAUGAAGUAUUUCGGUAUGUAAAGUUCUUUUAUUGAAGAAGAAAAAGUAGUGGAAAAACUAUAUUGACGUUAUUCAAUGAAUAAGCCCCGGCUAACUAUGUGCCAGCAGCCGCGGUAAGACAUAGGGGGCGAGCGUUAUCCGGAAUUAUUGGGCGUAAAGAGCUUGUAGGCGGUUUGUCGCGUCUGCUGUGAAAGGCCGGGGCUUAACUCCGUGUAUUGCAGUGGGUACGGGCAGACUAGAGUGCAGUAGGGGAGACUGGAAUUCCUGGUGUAGCGGUAAAAUGUGUAAAUAUAUGGAGGAACACCAGAAGCGUAGGCGGCUUGCUGGGUCUUUACUGACGCUGAGGCACGAAAGCGUGGGUAGCAAACAGGAUUAGAUACCCUGGUAGUCCACGCCGUAAACGAUGAGUACUAAGUGUCGGGGUAAAACUCGGUACUGAAGUUAACACAUUAAGUACUCCGCCUGAGUAGUACGUACGCAAGUAUGAAACUUAAAGGAAUUGACGGGACUCCGCACAAGCGGUGGAUCAUGUUGUUUAAUUCGAAGAUACACGAAAAAUCUUACCAGGUCUUGACAUACUCUGCAAAGCUAUAGAAAUAUAGUGGAGGUUAUCAGGGAUACAGGUGGUGCAUGGUUGUCGUCAGUUCGUGUCGUGAGAUGUUAGGUUAAGUCCUAAAACGAACGCAACCCUUGUCGUUAAUUGCCAGCACAUAAUGGUGGGGACUUUAACGAGACUGCCAAUUAAACAUUGGAGGAAGGUGAGGAUUACGUCAAAUCAUCAUGCCCCUUAUGAUCUGGGCUACAAACGUGAUACAAUGGCUGUGACAAAGAGUAGCUGAAACGCGAGUUUUUAGCCAAUCUCAAAAAAGCAGUCUCAGUUCGGAUUGAAGUCUGUAACUCGACUUCAUGAAGUUGGAAUCGCUAGUAAUCGCGAAUCAGCAUGUCGCGGUGAAUACGUUCUCGGGGUUUGUACACACCGCCCGUCAAACCACGAAAGUUAGCAAUGCCCGAAAGCAGUAGCU